GUAUGUGUGUGUAAUGAAACUGGAUGUCUUCCUUCCCGGCGAUCUUGACUUAACCUGUCAGCAGAGGUCUUGUGGUUAGACCACAGGUUGAACCUAGGUGGUUGCUGCAGAGGGUCACCUCUUUGCCCAAGAUGGCUGCUGGAGCCCCAGCCAGCAGGAAGGAAGAAGAAAGCCUGAAGAAGGACAUGCCCUUUCCCUUCAAGGAAACUUCGGAGAAGUCACACACUUAUAUUCCAUUGGCCAGAAUUCAGUCAUCUAGCCACACCUAGCUGCAAGGGAAGCUGGGUAGUAUAGUCUUUAUUCCAUGGGGGUCUGGCUAAAAGUUGGGGAAUAAACAAAGAAUGGAUAUUAGGAGACAGGA